rnacentral:rRNA from 1 species
GACGAACGCUGGCGGCGUGCCUAAUACAUGCAAGUAGAACGCUGAAGAGAGGAGCUUGCUCUUCUUGGAUGAGUUGCGAACGGGUGAGUAACGCGUAGGUAACCUGCCUUGUAGCGGGGGAUAACUAUUGGAAACGAUAGCUAAUACCGCAUAACAAUGGAUGACACAUGUCAUUUAUUUGAAAGGGGCAAUUGCUCCACUACAAGAUGGACCUGCGUUGUAUUAGCUAGUAGGUGAGGUAACGGCUCACCUAGGCGACGAUACAUAGCCGACCUGAGAGGGUGAUCGGCCACACUGGGACUGAGACACGGCCCAGACUCCUACGGGAGGCAGCAGUAGGGAAUCUUCGGUAAUGGGGGCAACCCUGACCGAGCAACGCCGCGUGAGUGAAGAAGGUUUUCGGAUCGUAAAGCUCUGUUGUAAGUCAAGAACGAGUGUGAGAGUGGAAAGUUCACACUGUGACGGUAGCUUACCAGAAAGGGACGGCUAACUACGUG